CCUACCUAUCGUUGCUUCGGCGGACUCGCCCCAGCCCGGACGCGGACUGGACCAGCGGCCCGCCGGGGACCUCAAACUCUUGUAUUCCAGCAUCUUCUGAAUACGCCGCAAGGCAAAACAAAUGAAUCAAAACUUUCAACAACGGAUCUCUUGGCUCUGGCAUCGAUGAAGAACGCAGCGAAACGCGAUAAGUAAUGUGAAUUGCAGAAUCCAGUGAAUCAUCGAAUCUUUGAACGCACAUUGCGCCCGCCAGCAUUCUGGCGGGCAUGCCUGUUCGAGCGUCAUUUCAACCCUCGACCUCCCCUUGGGGAGGUCGGCGUUGGGGACCGGCAGCACACCGCCGGCCCUGAAAUGGAGUGGCGGCCCGUCCGCGGCGACCUCUGCGCAGUAAUACAGCUCGCACCGGGACCCCGACGCGGCCACGCCGUAAAACACCCAACUUCUGAACGUUGACCUCGAAUCAGGUAGGACUACCCGCUGAACUUAAGCAUAUCAA
rnacentral:rRNA from 1 species